UACGUAGGGUGCGAGCGUUGUCCGGAUUUAUUGGGCGUAAAGAGCUCGUAGGCGGUUUGUCGCGUCGGCCGUGAAAUCUCCACGCUUAACGUGGAGCGUGCGGUCGAUACGGGCAGACUUGAGUUCGGUAGGGGAGACUGGAAUUCCUGGUGUAGCGGUGAAAUGCGCAGAUAUCAGGAGGAACACCGGUGGCGAAGGCGGGUCUCUGGCACGGUUCUGACGCUGAUGCGCGAAAGCUAGGGGAGCAAACGGG
rnacentral:rRNA from 1 species